AGCACGGGCGGCGUCUACCAUGCAAGUCGACGGGUAGGCUCUUUCGGGAGCCGAAAGUGGCGCACGGGUGAGUAACGCGUAGAUAACCUGUCCAAACGUCUGGAAUAGCCCUCCGAAAGGAGGAUUAAUACUGGAUACGUCAGACAUCCGCAGGGAUGUCUGGGAAAGGCGGCCUCUAUUUAUAAGCUGCCGCGGAUGGAGGGGUCUGCGUCCCAUUAGCUUGUUGGCGGGGUGACGGCCCACCAAGGCGACGAUGGGUAGCGGGUCUGAGAGGAUGAUCCGCCACACUGGCACUGAAACACGGGCCAGACUCCUACGGGAGGCAGCAGUGAGGAAUAUUGCGCAAUGGGGGCAACCCUGACGCAGCGACGCCGCGUGGGCGAGGAAGGCCUUCGGGUCGUAAAGCCCUGUCGGGAGGAAAGAAGUGUGCGGCGGUUAACAUCUGCCGCAUUUGACGGUACCUCCAAAGGAAGCACCGGCUAACUCUGUGCCAGCAGCCGCGGUAAUACAGAGGGUGCAAGCGUUGUUCGGAAUCACUGGGCGUAAAGGGCGCGUAGGCGGCCCUGUAAGUCAGAUGUGAAAGCCCUCGGCUUAACCGGGGAAGUGCAUUUGAAACUGCUGGGCUUGAGUGUCAGAGGGGAAGGCGGAAUUCCCGGUGUAGAGGUGAAAUUCGUAGAUAUCGGGAGGAAUACCGGUGGCGAAGGCGGCCUUCUGGCUGAACACUGACGCUGAGGCGCGAAAGCGCGGGGAGCAAACAGGAUUAGAUACCCUGGUAGUCCGCGCCGUAAACGAUGUGAACUGGAUGCAGGGGGUGUUGAUCCCCUCUGUGCCGUAGCCAACGCGCUAAGUUCACCGCCUGGGGAGUACGGCCGCAAGGUUGAAACUCAAAGGAAUUGACGG
rnacentral:rRNA from 1 species